AUUUAUUAGCUAUCGAAUGAUAAAAAUAAUGAAAAAUGAAGCUAAAAUUAAUUUCCUUUGUGCGUAUUUUAUUAAAAAAUCAUUAACUGUAAUGUAUAAAGUUAGAAGAAAAAACAGGAAACAUUAAUACCGAAAAAAAGUAAUAAUUAAACAAAUAUAAGUUUUAUUUUUAAUUAAACAAAACCAUGGCACACCGGCAUUUUUUUAAAUCGUUUCGUACCAUAAUAUUAAACCACACAAACCCUGGUUCUACUUAUCACUGUAACCAUAAGUCCAUUUUUACUCCUAAAUAUUUAAUAUUUACUAUAACGAAGUUUAAACUUUCUGUACGAUCUCUUUGUUUUGUCCUCACAUUUAAUCGUCUCCUUAAUCGGAUUAAAGUUUUUGCUGUUGACAAUGGUUGACGAAGAACUGAAAUAAACUGGAAUUAACUUGGAUUCGAUACGCAGUCGUUGAAUGUGACGAUAGAGUAUUGCGGAUAGCGAUGUAGAUAAUAUUAGAAGAGCUCCUAAGAUGGCUGUUAAGGCGAGGAAAGACGUACAGGUUUGCAUGCUUUCCAACUUCUUAAUAGCUGAAUCUGCUAUUGAAAUAAAAAUCACAAUCAAAAUCGAAUAUAUUUAUUGUUUCAUUGAAUCGUAUCAUUAAAACAUAUAGACUACAUUAUAAACGAGGUCAUAAUCGCGAUAAUAAAUCGAACUAUGAUAUAAUAGUUCUGCAAUUAGUUUGCUAUUGCUUCUGAAUCGAUUAGUUUUUUGCUUGUUACACUUUGUUAUUUUAUCAUAAUUAAUUUUAAAAGUACUGUAUUAAUAAAUAAAUGGUAAUAAUCGUUUCUACCGAUUAUCAUAAUAGGUAGAAUCGAAUACUUUUGUUGUAAUCGAAUACUAUUCAAAAGUAUUCGAACACUUUUUUAUCCAUUCAUUAUCUAUGCAGCCAAUCAACAACACUAGCCGUGAGACACAACUACCAAUUAGAAGCCUUCUACAAGAAAAGUAUUCGAUUUUAUCCAAUCACUAAUUUUAAAUUAAUUUACCUGUUAGUUUUGUUAUAAGAGCGACGUGAUUGGUUAACAAUCUGAAUUAAUUCGAUUUAACGAUUUAAAAAUCAAAUAUUAUAUUCGAAUGUAAACAGUCAUUCAUUUCUAAAUCCUGUUGUAAAUAAAAUUAAGCUAAAGUAGAUACGUAACAAGAAUCUAAUUAUUGAAAAUUGACGUAUUAUUACGGGAACGACGUCGAUUAUUACUAUUAUAUGAUACUAAUUAUAAAUGCUAAUAAUACAGUUUAGUAAAUUCUUUCGUAAGAAUUUUUAUAGAAACAAAGAUCGUUGAUGUCAAAACAAGCCGAUUUAUCAAGCG
rnacentral:lncRNA from 1 species